UUUAUCCAUAGCCAUGUAGCGAAGUCUCCAUCAGUGUCUGGUUCACUAGAACACAAACUAAAAACGCAUCGAUCUAAAAACUCUUAAGUGGGAAUAUAGUGUUUUGAAUGUAUAAAUAAACAGCACUAGUUUAGGUAUUUCAGGAAGAGGAAAACGUCGUACGAAGACAGGCAGAGACCCUGAGAAAUGGUGGGUUCAGUCAAGCGGUGAUACAAGAUCUGAUGGAGAAACGUGAGCAAAGAUAACGAAAAGGAAAAGUGCGGCUGCAGCGGCUAAGCCUGAGCUGAAGAGGUUUGGACCAUCAAAGUGGAUUUGAAGCAAACUGCAGAACAGGAAUUAGUAUAAAACACCAACCAAAAUGAGGAACCAGACUCAGUGAACAAGCUAUGCUCUGUUUUUUUUAAAGAGGGCGUUUUUCCAAGACCUCCAGAAACACGCCCACUUUACGUCGUGGUAACGAAACCCCUGGGAUUUAGCGAAUGCUGAACAAGUUGGAGAACCGAACGGAUUCCAAAUCUGUGCUUAUGGAAUAUUAAUGUGUUCACUGUGGUGUGGUUUUACUGGCACAGCUACUCCGUCAUAACAGAGAUAACAGUAGAAUGAUGGCUGUAGUAAUACGCAGCAAUAAACAUGUCAAUAAUACACUGUGGUUCAGUCCAUUUAUUGUUGCCAUAAAGAAUACUAUCAAUAACACACUGGAGUGUGUAUAAUAACAUCGAUAACACACUGGACUGCUCCACACAGCCCUGAACGCCUGAGGGAACAAAGGGAAAGUUCAACACAAGGGCCGUUUUAUUAAAAAUUGACAUGUUGUGAUGGAGGAGUUUCUACAGCCUGAGGUGACUGAUGGAAGACAGGAAGUGCUCGACAAAAACAGACGAGUAUUACCACGAGCGCUGUGUCUCUGUGGGUGUACUGGAUCUUAAGAAACAAUAGUUCAGAUAAACAACACAGCCUAAUGUGCAUAAGCAGACAUUUUAAACAUAUACAGUACCGAC